GGGCGAAUGGUCUAGGGGUAUGAUAUUCGCUUUGCAUGGCUAGCUCUUCCUUGCGGUGCCGAAAGUAUGUAAUUGCGAAGGGUCCGGGGUUCAAUUCCCCGUUCGUCCA